UACGUAGGUGGCGAGCGUUGUCCGGAAUUACUGGGUGUAAAGCGCGUGUAGGCGGGAGGCCAAGUCUGUGGUGAAAUCGCUCGGCUUAACUGGGCGGGGUCCAUGGAAACUGGUCACCUGGAGGUCGGUAGAGGCAAGUGGAAUUCCCGGUGUAGUGGUGAAAUGCGUAGAGAUCGGGAGGAACACCAGUGGCGAAGGCGGCUGCUGGGCCGGACCUGACGCUGAGACGCGAAGGCGUGGGGAGCGAACGGG
rnacentral:rRNA from 1 species